AUUGAACGCUGGCGGCAGGCCUAACACAUGCAAGUCGAGCGGAGCGGCGGACGGGUGAGUAAUGCCUAGGAAUCUGCCUGGUAGUGGGGGAUAACGUCCGGAAACGGGCGCUAAUACCGCAUACUAUCAGAUGAGCCUAGGUCGGAUUGGCUAGUUGGUGGGGUAAAGGACUACCAAGGCGACGAUCAGUAACUGGUCUGCGAGGAUGCUCAGUCACACUGGAACUGAGAACCGGUCCAGACUCCUACGGGAGGCAGCAGUGGGGAAUAGUGGAAAAGGGGCGGAAGCCGGGUCCAGCCAUGCCGCGUGUGGGAAGAAGGUCUUCGGCUUGUAAAGCAAGUUAAGUUGGGAGUGGUUGCCAACAGAAUAAGCACCGGCUAACUCCGUGCCAGCAGCCGCGGUAAUAC
rnacentral:rRNA from 1 species